UACGUAGGGUCCGAGCGUUGUCCGGAAUUAUUGGGCGUAAAGGGCUCGUAGGCGGUUUGUCGCGUCGGGAGUGAAAACUCAGGGCUCAACCCUGAGCGUGCUUCCGAUACGGGCAAACUAGAGGUAUGCAGGGGAGAAUGGAAUUCCUGGUGUAGCGGUGGAAUGCGCAGAUAUCAGGAGGAACACCGGUGGCGAAGGCGGUUCUCUGGGCAUUACCUGACGCUGAGGAGCGAAAGCAUGGGGAGCGAACAGGAUUAGAUACCCUGGUAGUCCAUGCCGUAAACGUUGGGCGCUAGGUGUGGGGACCUUCCACGGUUUCCGUGCCGCAGCUAACGCAUUAAGCGCCCCGCCUGGGGAGUACGGCCGCAAGGCUAAA
rnacentral:rRNA from 1 species